rnacentral:lncRNA from 1 species
UUGUUAACUUAUUUUAUCCCUUUUUUAUUUUUUAAAUUUUUAUAAUAUUUUUAAUUUCUUAUGUCAUAUCAUGAUAUCUUAUGACCAUAAAAUAAGGUCGAUAAAUUAUGAUUUUAUUAUAGACAAACCCCCGUUACCCCUUUUUCUUAUAGUUCAUAUUAUUUGUAGAUAUCCAAAGAAACCCAUUUGAGUAGAGUUGCUAUUUGACUUUGGGUUGCAAUUGUUUUUGUGCUUGAAUUCCCCUUUUGUGCUUACGUGGCCUAAUUUUUACUCCUAUCCCUAUUUGAUUUUAUUUUCAUUAUUUUUUUUAAUUUUUUUAUUAUUUUUGAAUUUAAAGAUAAAACAUGAAAAAAGAAAAAUAUAAAAAAUAGAAACUUGAUUUUUCUUGUAUUUAUCUUUUCAUUUUUCAUAUACCUUCAUCUUUUAUUUAUUAUUUAAUCUUUCGAUUUUUUUUGGUAUUAUCUUUUAUUUUAUGUUGAAACAAAGAAAAUUAAAAAAAAUAAUAACGGAAUGAAAAGGGUAGUGUAAAUUCAAAAAUUAAAAAUAAAAUAAACAGGAUGAAUAAUCCAAAGUCGAUUGGUGAUAAAGCUUGCUACUCUUUUUUUAGAUAAAAUUUGAGGAAUUAAGAUCAAUUUUCAAGGAUAAUUUCGAGAGCAUAAUACUUUUGCUCGUGGAGUUCUAUCCUAACUGUGAUUGAUUGAUCCCUGUAAAUACCAGGCAAUCAUCACAAUUGACACAACAACAAUGACAGAAGAUAUAGUAAUUUAGAGAAAAGUAAUAAACACAGUAAGUGUUUUAAUUUUGGGUUGUUUUAUUUUGGGGAGAUUUGAUUUUAGAUUUGAAUUAAUCUAGUGUGAUUUUGGAAAAACAAGUGUGAUUGAAGGAUUCACGAGGGUUAAAGAGUUGUUCGAAAUGGUCAUUUUUUAUUUUUUAAAAAAUUUUUCUGGUUUGAAUGAAUUUUUUGAUGAACCUUUUUUGUGGGAUUUGAAUUUUCAGGCAUAACUUCCGAUGAGAUUUAAAUUUUUUGAUAGCUAUUUGGUUUUUCCAGUGACGAGACAUCGGAAACUGGAUUUUCUUCAUAUUUUUGGCACCUUGUUCUUCGAUUAUAGAAAAAAGGCUGAGGAAAAAUUAAAAAAAGGGGAAAAGGCAAAGCUUGGCUUUUAUAUGCUAUCUAAAUAGCGUCCUUCGAAAGCUAAGAAAAUUGGAAGACCCGCGUGGGACGCACUUCAGCUUCUCUGGGACUCGACUUAAUUGUCGGUUCCUUUUUUUCAUUUUAUUUAUUCAUUUAUCUUUAUUUUUAUUUUAUUAUUUAGUUGUAUUCUAUUUUAUUUUAUUUGUAGAUUUGGAUUGUAUUUUAG